GGUUAAGCGACUAAGCGUACACGGUGGAUGCCCUGGCAGUCAGAGGCGAUGAAGGACGUGCUAAUCUGCGAAAAGCGACGGCGAGGUGAUAUGAACCUUUGACCCGUCGAUGUCCGAAUGGGGAAACCCAGUGUGUUCCGACACACUAUCGUUAACUGAAUACAUAGGUUAACGAGGCGAACCGGGGGAACUGAAACAUCUAAGUACCCCGAGGAAAAGAAAUCAACCGAGAUUCCCCCAGUAGCGGCGAGCGAACGGGGAGCAGCCCGGAGUCUGAAUCAGCUUGUGUGUUAGUGGAACGGUCUGGAAAGUCCGACGGUACAGGGUGAUAGUCCCGUACACGAAAACACACUUGCUGUGAACUCGAAGAGUAGGGCGGGACACGUGGUAUCCUGUCUGAAUAUGGGGGGACCAUCCUCCAAGGCUAAAUACUCCUGACUGACCGAUAGUGAACCAGUACCGUGAGGGAAAGGCGAAAAGAACCCCGGCGAGGGGAGUGAAAAAGAACCUGAAACCGUGUACGUACAAGCAGUGGGAGCCUCUUUAUGGGGUGACUGCGUACCUUUUGUAUAAUGGGUCAGCGACUUAUAUUCUGUAGCAAGGUUAACCGUAUAGGGGAGCCGAAGGGAAACCGAGUCUUAACUGGGCGUUAAGU
rnacentral:rRNA from 1 species